rnacentral:lncRNA from 1 species
GCAGGCGCAGCUGCUGCGGCUCCUGAAAUCCUCCGGUGUGAACUUCUCCCAGGGCUGUUGAUGCUUCAUCUACUCUUCUGGCAGUGGGGGCCUGGACCUUAGUUACCCGGGAAGCGUGAGUCAUGUUGCACAGUUGAGCUGGCACAUAAAACUACGAGUCACACCAGAAGAGGGCAUUGGAUCCCACUAUAGACUGUUGUGAGCCACCUUGUGGUUGCUGGGAAUUGAACUCAGGACCUCUGGAAGAGCAGUUGGUGCUCUUAACUGCUGAGUCAUCUCUCCAGCCCCAGCUCCUGCUUCCUGACCUGCUUGAGUUCCAGUCCUGACUUCUUUCAGUGAUGAACAGCAAUGUGGAAAUGUAAGCUGAAUAAACCCUUUCCUCCCCAA